rnacentral:rRNA from 1 species
UAAUUGGAGAGUUUGAUCCUGGCUCAGAAUGAACGCUGGCGGCGUGCUUAACACAUGCAAGUCGUACGAGAACUCUUUAGCUUGCUAAAGAUAGUAAAGUGGCGAACGGGUGAGUAACGCGUGGGCAAUCUACCUCCGAAUCGGGGAUAACCCGCCGAAAGGCGAGCUAAUACCGGAUAAUAUCUAUAGAACUUCGGUUUUAAAGAUCAAAGGUGGUCUCUACAUGUAAGCUACUGUUUGGAGAUGAGCCCGCGUACCAUUAGCUUGUUGGUAGGGUAAUGGCCUACCAAGGCUUCGAUGGUUAGCUGGUCUGAGAGGAUGAUCAGCCACA